UACAGAGGGUGCUAGCGUUGUUCGGAAUCAUUGGGCGUAAAGCGCGUGUAGGCGGUCCGGUAAGUCCGCUGUGAAAGUCGGGGGGCUCAACCCUCGGAUGCCGGUGGAUACUGUCGGGCUUGAGUACGGAAGAGGCGAGUGGAAUUCCUGGUGUAGCGGUGAAAUGCGCAGAUAUCAGGAGGAACACCAAUUGCGAAGGCAGCUCGCUGGGACGUUACUGACGCUGAGGAGCGAAAGCGUGGGGAGCAAUCAGG
rnacentral:rRNA from 1 species